GAAGGGAGAAGCCCUCGUUUCCAGAUUGGAAAGAAGUAUUGUCAUUUAAAUCAAACUUUUAUGGAUGAUAUGGAGAACCAGAUCCUUUUUGGGAAUGCAUUCCCUGGGGGUAGGGGGAGAAUCAGGGGAUGUCCCAGAUGGGAGGGCAAGCAAACUCAAUCCAUUCCGCUCCAUUGUCAUCCCUAUUUAUACAGCUGAAAGUGGUAAAAGCCAGUACCAAAGUCCACAGACGGGAGAGGUUCAACAUACUAACAAGUAUACUUCGACCCAAAAAAAAAAAA